UACGUAGGGGAGCAAGCGUUGUCCGGAAUCAUUGGGCGUAAAAGCGCGCGUAGGUGGCCUCAUAAGUCCGCUGUGAAAGUCAAAAAGGCUCAACCUUUGAAAGCCGGUGGAUACUGUGAGGCUAGAGUACGGAAAGAGGCGAGUGGAAUUCCUGGUGUAGCGGUGGAAUGCGCAGAUAUCAGGAGGAACACCAAUAGCGAAAGGCAGCUCGCUGGGGACGGUACUGACGCUGAGGCGCGAAAAGCGUGGGGGGAGCGAACAGG
rnacentral:rRNA from 1 species